rnacentral:misc_RNA from 1 species
GAUGAAGAACGCAGCGAAAUGCGAUAAGUAGUGUGAAUUGCAGAAUUCAGUGAAUCAUCGAAUCUUUGAACGCACAUUGCGCCCCUUGGUAUUCCAUGGGGUAUGCCUGUUCGAGCGUCAUUUGUACCUUCAAGCUUUGCUUGGUGUUGGGUGUUUGUCCUGAGGGACUCGCCUUAAAGUAAUUGGCAGCCAGUGUUUGGUUUUGAAGCGCAGCACAAGUCGCGAUUCAAAGCUAUACGCCCGCUUCCACAAGCCUUUUUCACUUUUGACCUCGGAUCAGGUAGGGAUACCCGCUGAACUUAAGCAUAUCAAUAAGCGGAGGA